CCUACGGGAGGCAGCAGUGGGGAAUUUUGGACAAUGGGCGCAAGCCUGAUCCAGCCAUGCCGCGUGUGGGAAGAAGGCCUUCGGGUUGUAAACCACUUUUGUCAGGGAAGAAACGGUCUGAACUAAUACUUUGGACUAAUGACGGUACCUGAAGAAUAAGCACCGGCUAACUACGUGCCAGCAGCCGCGGUAAUACGUAGGGUGCAAGCGUUAAUCGGAAUUACUGGGCGUAAAGCGUGCGCAGGCGGCUUUGCAAGACAGAUGUGAAAUCCCCGGGCUCAACCUGGGAACUGCAUUUGUGACUGCAUGGCUAGAGUACGGUAGAGGGGGAUGGAAUUCCGCGUGUAGCAGUGAAAUGCGUAGAUAUGCGGAGGAACACCGAUGGCGAAGGCAAUCCCCUGGACCUGUACUGACGCUCAUGCACGAAAGCGUGGGGAGCAAACAGGAUUAGAUACCCUGGUAGUCCACGCCCUAAACGAUGUCAACUGGUUGUUGGGAGGGUUUCUUCUCAGUAACGAAGCUAACGCGUGAAGUUGACCGCCUGGGGAGUACGGCCGCAAGGUUGAAACGUCAAAGAGUAGUGACGNGNGAGAGCGACGAGACGACGACGGAGGAGG
rnacentral:rRNA from 1 species